rnacentral:rRNA from 1 species
AGAGUUUGAUCAUGGCUCAGGAUAAACGCUGGCGGCGUGCCUAAUACAUGCAAGUCGGACGCAGUACCGGAAGGUACUGAGUGGCGAACGGGUGAGUAAUACAUAAGGAACCUGGCCUGUACAGGGGGAUAACAUCGGGAAACUGAUGCUAAUACCGCAUAGGCGGCUUGACCGCAUGGUUAAGCGGUGAAAGGUGGGAGACACCGGUAGAGGAUGGACUUAUGGAGCAUUAGCUGGUUGGCGGGGUAAGGGCCCACCAAGGCGACGAUGCAUAGCCGGCCUGAGAGGGUGAACGGCCACACUGGGACUGAGACACGGCCCAGACUCCUGCGGGAGGCAGCAGUAGGGAAUUUUCGGCAAUGGGGGGAACCCUGACCGAGCAACGCCGCGUGAAGGAAGAAGGUUUUAGGAUUGUAAACUUCUGUUGCAGAGGAAGAAAGGUGUGCGCAGGGAAUGGCGGACAUAAGACGGUACUCUGCGAGGAAGCCACGGCUAACUACGUGCCAGCAGCCGCGGUAAAACGUAGGUGGCAAGCGUUAUCCGGAAUUAUUGGGCGUAAAGAGGGAGCAGGCGGCAGCAUAGGUCCGGGGUAAAAGCGUGAAGCUCAACUUCAUGAAGCCCCGGAAACCGGGCAGCUGGAGGCCGGAAGAGGAAUGCGGAAUUCCAUGUGUAGCGGUGAAAUGCGCAGAUAUAUGGAGGAACACCAGUGGCGAAGGCGGCAUUCUGGGCCGGUACUGACGCUCAGUCCCGAAAGCGUGGGGAGCAAAUAGGAUUAGAUACCCUAGUAGUCCACGCCGUAA